rnacentral:rRNA from 1 species
AUUGAACGCUGGCGGCAGGCCUAACACAUGCAAGUCGAACGAGUGGCGGACGGGUGAGUAAUGUCUGGGAAACUGCCUGAUGGAGGGGGAUAACUACUGGAAACGGUAGCUAAUACCGCAUACCAUCGGAUGUGCCCAGAUGGGAUUAGCUAGUAGGUGGGGUAAAGGCUCACCUAGGCGACGAUCCCUAGCUGGUCUGAGAGGAUGACCAGCCACACUGGGACGGGGAAACGGUCCCAGCCGCUACGGGGGGGAGGAGUGGGGAUUAUUGCAAAUGGGGGGCAGCCCGGAUGCACCAUGCCGGGUUGUAGAAAGAGGGCUUUCGGGUUGAAAAGUCCUUUCAGCGGGGGGCGUUACCCGCAGAAGAAGCACCGGCUAACUCCGUGCCAGCCGCCGCGGUAAUUC